GGUUAAGCGACUAAGCGUACACGGUGGAUGCCCUGGCAGUCAGAGGCGAUGAAGGACGUGCUAAUCUGCGAUAAGCGUCGGUAAGGUGAUAUGAACCGUUAUAACCGGCGAUUUCCGAAUGGGGAAACCCAGUGUGUUUCGACACACUAUCAUUAACUGAAUCCAUAGGUUAAUGAGGCGAACCGGGGGAACUGAAACAUCUAAGUACCCCGAGGAAAAGAAAUCAACCGAGAUUCCCCCAGUAGCGGCGAGCGAACGGGGAGCAGCCCAGAGCCUGAAUCAGUGUGUGUGUUAGUGGAAGCGUCUGGAAAGGCGCGCGAUACAGGGUGACAGCCCCGUACACAAAAAUGCACAUGCUGUGAGCUCGAUGAGUAGGGCGGGACACGUGGUAUCCUGUCUGAAUAUGGGGGGACCAUCCUCCAAGGCUAAAUACUCCUGACUGACCGAUAGUGAACCAGUACCGUGAGGGAAAGGCGAAAAGAACCCCGGCGAGGGGAGUGAAAAAGAACCUGAAACCGUGUACGUACAAGCAGUGGGAGCACGCUUAGGCGUGUGACUGCGUACCUUUUGUAUAAUGGGUCAGCGACUUAUAUUCUGUAGCAAGGUUAACCGAAUAGGGGAGCCGAAGGGAAACCGAGUCUUAACUGGGCGUUAAGUUGCAGGGUAUAGACCCGAAACCCGGUGAUCUAGCCAUGGGCAGGUUGAAGGUUGGGUAACACUAACUGGAGGACCGAACCGACUAAUGUUGAAAAAUUAGCGGAUGACUUGUGGCUGGGGGUGAAAGGCCAAUCAAACCGGGAGAUAGCUGGUUCUCCCCGAAAGCUAUUUAGGUAGCGCCUCGUGAAUUCAUCUCCGGGGGUAGAGCACUGUUUCGGCAAGGGGGUCAUCCCGACUUACCAACCCGAUGCAAACUGCGAAUACCGGAGAAUGUUAUCACGGGAGACACACGGCGGGUGCUAACGUCCGUCGUGAAGAGGGAAACAACCCAGACCGCCAGCUAAGGUCCCAAAGUCAUGGUUAAGUGGGAAACGAUGUGGGAAGGCCCAGACAGCCAGGAUGUUGGCUUAGAAGCAGCCAUCAUUUAAAGAAAGCGUAAUAGCUCACUGGUCGAGUCGGCCUGCGCGGAAGAUGUAACGGGGCUAAACCAUGCACCGAAGCUGCGGCAGCGACGCUUAUGCGUUGUUGGGUAGGGGAGCGUUCUGUAAGCCUGUGAAGGUGUGCUGUGAGGCAUGCUGGAGGUAUCAGAAGUGCGAAUGCUGACAUAAGUAACGAUAAAGCGGGUGAAAAGCCCGCUCGCCGGAAGACCAAGGGUUCCUGUCCAACGUUAAUCGGGGCAGGGUGAGUCGACCCCUAAGGCGAGGCCGAAAGGCGUAGUCGAUGGGAAACAGGUUAAUAUUCCUGUACUUGGUGUUACUGCGAAGGGGGGACGGAGAAGGCUAUGUUGGCCGGGCGACGGUUGUCCCGGUUUAAGCGUGUAGGCUGGUUUUCCAGGCAAAUCCGGAAAAUCAAGGCUGAGGCGUGAUGACGAGGCACUACGGUGCUGAAGCAACAAAUGCCCUGCUUCCAGGAAAAGCCUCUAAGCAUCAGGUAACAUCAAAUCGUACCCCAAACCGACACAGGUGGUCAGGUAGAGAAUACCAAGGCGCUUGAGAGAACUCGGGUGAAGGAACUAGGCAAAAUGGUGCCGUAACUUCGGGAGAAGGCACGCUGAUACGUAGGUGAAGUCCCUCGCGGAUGGAGCUGAAAUCAGUCGAAGAUACCAGCUGGCUGCAACUGUUUAUUAAAAACACAGCACUGUGCAAACACGAAAGUGGACGUAUACGGUGUGACGCCUGCCCGGUGCCGGAAGGUUAAUUGAUGGGGUCAGCGCAAGCGAAGCUCUUGAUCGAAGCCCCGGUAAACGGCGGCCGUAACUAUAACGGUCCUAAGGUAGCGAAAUUCCUUGUCGGGUAAGUUCCGACCUGCACGAAUGGCGUAAUGAUGGCCAGGCUGUCUCCACCCGAGACUCAGUGAAAUUGAACUCGCUGUGAAGAUGCAGUGUACCCGCGGCAAGACGGAAAGACCCCGUGAACCUUUACUAUAGCUUGACACUGAACAUUGAGCCUUGAUGUGUAGGAUAGGUGGGAGGCUUUGAAGUGUGGACGCCAGUCUGCAUGGAGCCGACCUUGAAAUACCACCCUUUAAUGUUUGAUGUUCUAACGUUGACCCGUGAUCCGGGUUGCGGACAGUGUCUGGUGGGUAGUUUGACUGGGGCGGUCUCCUCCUAAAGAGUAACGGAGGAGCACGAAGGUUGGCUAAUCCUGGUCGGACAUCAGGAGGUUAGUGCAAUGGCAUAAGCCAGCUUGACUGCGAGCGUGACGGCGCGAGCAGGUGCGAAAGCAGGUCAUAGUGAUCCGGUGGUUCUGAAUGGAAGGGCCAUCGCUCAACGGAUAAAAGGUACUCCGGGGAUAACAGGCUGAUACCGCCCAAGAGUUCAUAUCGACGGCGGUGUUUGGCACCUCGAUGUCGGCUCAUCACAUCCUGGGGCUGAAGUAGGUCCCAAGGGUAUGGCUGUUCGCCAUUUAAAGUGGUACGCGAGCUGGGUUUAGAACGUCGUGAGACAGUUCGGUCCCUAUCUGCCGUGGGCGCUGGAGAAUUGAGGGGGGCUGCUCCUAGUACGAGAGGACCGGAGUGGACGCAUCACUGGUGUUCGGGUUGUCAUGCCAAUGGCACUGCCCGGUAGCUAAAUGCGGAAGAGAUAAGUGCUGAAAGCAUCUAAGCACGAAACUUGCCCCGAGAUGAGUUCUCCCUGACCCUUUAAGGGUCCUGAAGGAACGUUGAAGACGACGACGUUGAUAGGCCGGGUGUGUAAGCGCAGCGAUGCGUUGAGCUAACCGGUACUAAUGAACCGUGAGGCUUAACCUU
rnacentral:rRNA from 1 species